rnacentral:rRNA from 1 species
UACGUAGGGAUCAAGCGUUGUCCGGAUUUACUGGGUGUAGAGGGCGCGUAGGCGGGAUUGCAAGUCAGAUGUGAAAUGCCGUGGCUUAACCACGGAGCUGCAUUUGAAACUGUAGUUCUUGAGUAUCGGAGAGGCAGACGGAAUUCCUAGUGUAGCGGUGAAAUGUGUAGAUAUUAGGAAGAACACCAGUGGCGAAGGCGGUCUGCUGGACGACAACUGACGCUGAGGCGCGAAAGCGUGGGGAGCAAAC